UUUCACCAUUUUUGUUGUGUAAUAAGUAAUCAAUACCUAACGGUAAAUACUAACAGCUUGAUGGUGAUUUAGGGUGUACCCUAAAUAGACACUCCGGAUUCAUUGCUUUAUGCUGAUUUUUAAUGUAAAAUUAGGGUGUAAAAUAAAUGAGUUCAAAAAUGGAGUGAUUUGGGGCAUGAAAGUAGCAUAUGCGCGUGUAAGUUCCACGGAUCAGAAUUU
rnacentral:sRNA from 1 species